AGCAACUAUUGGUUCUUCUAUAUCUCAUACCUUCACCAAUACCUCAGUAGUUGCCCUUGCCCAAUGCUUUCGAGUAUAAUGGCUCAAAGUUUCUAUUUCCUUGUCACUAGAAUCUUCGAAACGUACUCGCUGAUUAUACCCAUUCUUUUCAUUUGUUGGUUGCUUGUAACCAAUAUCAACCUCUUCUUCAUCUCUAUAUAUUCUUGCGUCAA
rnacentral:lncRNA from 1 species